CUUUAUUUUGCCACAGUGUGGCUCUCCUAUGCAUGGCUGCUUCUGCCAUUGUGGCACAAGAAGGGAAUACCUCCUUGGUGCCUUCAUCCACAUCUUGGCAACAGUGGAGCAGAAGGACCAUCAGCCCUUGCUGCUGAGUGUGGCGACCGCAACACCAGAGCUGCAUUCGGUGGGCUCCGUGUACCUCUUCGCCAAGGAGUUUUUACAAUUUGGUUUUACAGCAGGAUGUGACUAGUGCUUUUGUGCGAUGUGGAUUCAUGUGGCGAACCAUUCCUGAUUGAUGGUCUAUAUACACUGCAAACUUUUGGCCUGGAACCCCAGCGGCCUUGAUACCAGCAGGAAGGCCUGCCAUUAUGUGCAAGGGCAUGGGUGUGACCCUGAGUACAGCUGGGUUUCCUGGGAGAUGGGCAGCCAUCUAUCGUGCAUGUCCUGACUCUGGAAUGGUUGACGUGAUUUGAAAUAAUGUGUCGCUUUUUCUUGGUUUUAUUCUCACUUGUUAUCUAACAAGAACCCAAGGUCAAGCACAUUAGACUUGACUGUGCCAUGAGUUUCAACUCUAUUUUACAAGCAGGUCAUUGUGCCGAUGUGAUGCAAGUAAAUGGUUUGAGGCCUUUUAUUAAACCAAGCGCGCUUAGGCAAUUGUAUAGUUCAACUAUGCUUAAAAGGAGAUCAGAAAUCCAUGGACUGUGAUAGACUUGUCUUCAUGAUCUCAAACCAGAUGACUUGUUUCAAGGCUCACGUAAUUCUCUCUCCAGUUGUAGCACCACUGCAUUGUCUGUAGUCGCCAGCGUUUUGAUAUUCAUAGAUACUGUUUCUACGACAGCCUAGAUAUGUGCUUCAUAACCGCUGCUAUUGACUCUGCAGUACCUUCACUGUCUGAAAAUGCCUGUAUUUGUGAAAUAAUUGAGUGCUGUAGUCUUGGUUAUUACAAUGGUAAAAAUAUGCGGAUGAGUCUGUAAGCGCUGCAGUAUUUAAGCUGUUUCUGUAGGUCAAGGUGAUGUCCUGAUUGGCGGG